rnacentral:rRNA from 1 species
GCAUAUCAAUAAGCGGAGGAAAAGAAACCAACAGGGAUUGCCUCAGUAACGGCGAGUGAAGCGGCAACAGCUCAAAUUUGAAAUCUGGCGUCUUUGGGCGUCCGAGUUGUAAUUUGCAGAGGAUACUUCGGCUUUGGGCCCGCUCCAGGUUCUUUGGAACAGGACGCCAUAGAGGGUGAGAGCCCCGUCUCUGGGUGGGACCCCAUUGCCAUGUGAAGUGCCUUCGACGAGUCGAGUUGUUUGGGAAUGCAGCUCAAAAUGGGAGGUAAAUUUCUUCCAAGGCUAAAUACCGGCUGGAGACCGAUAGCGCACAAGUAGAGUGAUCGAAAGAUGAAAAGUACUUUGGAAAGAGAGUCAAACAGCGCGUGAAAUUGUUGAAAGGGAAGCGCUUGCAGUCAGACUUGGCUGCCCGGUUCGGUAGUGUCUUGUACGCUGCCUAUGCCGCGGCGGUCAGGCCAGCAUUGGUUUGGGCGGUUGGUUAAAGGUUGCGGGAAUGUAGCUCCUCUCGGGGAGUGUUAUAGCCCGCGGCAUAAUACAGCCUGUCCGGACCAAGGAACGCGCUUCGGCUCGGAUGCUGGCGUAAUGGCUGCAAGCGGCCCGUCUUGAAACACGGACCAAGGAGUCUAACAUCUGUGCGAGUGUUUGGGUGUCAAGCCCUUACGCGUAAUGAAAGUGAACGGAGGUGGGAGCCCUCGGGCGCACCAUCGACCGAUCCUGAUGUCUUCGGAAGGAUUUGAGUAAGAGCACAACUGUUGGGACCCGAAAGAUGGUGAACUAUGCCUAAACAGGGUGAAGCCAGAGGAUUCUGUGGUGGAGGCUCGCAGCGGUUCUGACGUGCAAAUCGAUCGUCAAAUUUGGGCAUAGGGGCGAAAGAC